rnacentral:misc_RNA from 1 species
GAAUCGCGAAAAGUCGGACAAACUGCAGAAUAUUGCGAGUCUGGUAAUUUUUGAAUGCACAUUGCACGGUUACAUACAAGUAAUCGUUCAUUUAUGUGGGGGGCAUACUUUUUUGGUAAAGCGUUUACGCGCCAUACCACAUUGUUGUAAAGGUGUUUACCCUUGCAAUUAAAUUUAAAUGUGGAUGCGUUUUACACCACCAUUUAAUGGAGACAUUAUUGGGGGUCAACUCGGCAUCCUACAGAAUUUAUACUUUGCCACCACAUUAAAUGGGAAUACCCGCUAAACUUAA